rnacentral:lncRNA from 1 species
CUUCCUCCGAUUCUUCAUCUCCUUCUUCUCUCCCGCCCAACCCCCUCUGCUCCGAGCACUCAGAGCCCGUGCCACUCAGAUCCUCCUCAAAGCCCAAAAAGGUAACUUCGAUCAUCCUUGCAAUUGAAAUAAACCGUAAAAAUAUUUUUUUUCGUGGAUUUACCAUUUUCAGGGAAAUUUGAUGAUAUAUCGUGACCAAUAAAAUACUGCAGAGAUAAAGAUGAUGGAGUUCCAACCUUCGGUGGUAGCCGCCUCCGCGCUGCUCUCUGCUGCCUACGAGCUCUUCCCAAUUCAGUAUCCGGCCUUCCGCGCCGCCGUCUCCUCCUGCGAGCUUGUAAAUAAUGUACUCUCUCCUCCCUCCAAAAAAAAUCGACUUUUACCAUUUCUGCUGUACCUUACAAUAAUAUAAUUACAUUAUUAGAGGGCCUAAGAGGCAAUUUGUUCCGUGGUUGUAUUUUGUUUUUAGGACAAGUUGUUGGAUUGCAGCAGCGCCAUGGGAGAUGCGGAAGCAGCGGCGACGG